CAGAGGGUGCAAACGUUGCUCGGAAUCACUGGGCGUAAAGGGCGCGUAGGCGGGGAUGUAAGUCGGGCGUGAAAUCCCUAGGCUCAACCUAGGAACUGCACUCGAAACUGCGUUUCUUGAGUAUCGGAGAGGAAAGCGGAAUUCCUGGUGUAGAGGUGAAAUUCGUAGAUAUCAGGAGGAACACCAGUGGCGAAGGCGGCUUUCUGGACGGUAACUGACGCUGAGGCGCGAAAGCGUGGGGAGCAAACAGGAUU
rnacentral:rRNA from 1 species